GCGCGGUUGUAGCAAUACAAUUGGCGGCGACCGGCGAAAGGGUGCGUAACGCGUGAGCGACAUGCCCGUCACCGGGGUAUAACCGAUGGAAACGUCGACUAAUCCCCCAUAACAUCAGAGGAGGCAUCUUCUUUGGUUGAAAUUCACGGAGGUGACGGAUUGGCUCGCGUCUGAUUAGCUAGUCGGCGGGGUAACGGCCCACCGAGGCGACGAUCAGUAGGGGUUCUGAGAGGAAGGUCCCCCACAAUGGAACUGAGACACGGUCCAUACUCCUACGGGAGGCAGCAGUGAGGAAUAUUGGUCAAUGGGCGGAAGCCUGAACCAGCCAUGCCGCGUGCAGGACGACGGCCCUAUGGGUUGUAAACUGCUUUUGCUGCGGAGCAAUAAGGGCCUCGAGCAGGUCCGAUGAGAGUACGCAGCGAAUAAGCAUCGGCUAACUCCGUGCCAGCAGCCGCGGUAAUACGGAGGAUGCGAGCGUUAUCCGGAUUUAUUGGGUUUAAAGGGUGCGUAGGCUGUGCGUUAAGUCAGGGGUGAAAUGCCGUCGCUCAACGACGGAGCUGCCCUUGAUACUGGCGUGCUGGAGUACGGAUGCCGUUGGAGGAAUGAGUGGUGUAGCGGUGAAAUGC
rnacentral:rRNA from 1 species